rnacentral:rRNA from 1 species
GCAGUCGAGCGAGAAAGCACCCUUCGGGUGUGAGUAGAGCGGCGGACGGGCUGAGUAACGCGUAGGAAUCUACCCAGUGGUGGGGGACAACUUGGGGAAACUCAAGCUAAUACCGCAUACGCCCUGAGGGGGAAAGCGGGGGAUCUUCGGACCUCGCGCCAUUGGAUGAGCCUGCGUUGGAUUAGCUAGUUGGUGGGGUAAAGGCCUACCAAGGCGACGAUCCAUAGCUGGUCUGAGAGGACGAUCAGCCACACUGGGACUGAGACACGGCCCAGACUCCUACGGGAGGCAGCAGUGGGGAAUAUUGCGCAAUGGGCGAAAGCCUGACGCAGCCAUGCCGCGUGUGUGAAGAAGGCCCUAGGGUUGUAAAGCACUUUCAAUGGGGAGGAAAUGCUCAUCGUUAAUAGCGGUGAGAGUUGACGUUACCCAUAGAAGAAGCACCGGCUAACUCCGUGCCAGCAGCCGCGGUAGUACGGAGGGUGCAAGCGUUAAUCGGAAUUACUGGGCGUAAAGCGCACGUAGGCGGUCUGUUAAGUCAGCUGUGAAAGCCCCGGGCUCAACCUGGGAAUUGCAGUUGAUACUGGGAGACUGGAGUACGAGAGAGGGAGGUAGAAUUCCACGUGUAGCGGUGAAAUGCGUAGAUAUGUGGAGGAAUACCAGUGGCGAAGGCGGCCUCCUGGCUCGAUACUGACGCUGAGGUGCGAAAGCGUGGGG